UGCAGUCGACGGUAACAUUUCUAGCUUGCUAGAAGAUGACGAGUGGCGGACGGGUGAGUAAUGCUUGGGAACUUGCCUUUGCGAGGGGGAUAACAGUUGGAAACGACUGCUAAUACCGCAUAAUGUCUUCGGACCAAACGGGGCUUCGGCUCCGGCGCAAAGAGAGGCCCAAGUGAGAUUAGCUAGUUGGUAAGGUAACGGCUUACCAAGGCGACGAUCUCUAGCUGUUCUGAGAGGAAGAUCAGCCACACUGGGACUGAGACACGGCCCAGACUCCUACGGGAGGCAGCAGUGGGGAAUAUUGCACAAUGGGGGAAACCCUGAUGCAGCCAUGCCGCGUGUGUGAAGAAGGCCUUCGGGUUGUAAAGCACUUUCAGUUGUGAGGAAAAGUUAGUAGUUAAUACCUGCUAGCCGUGACGUUAACAACAGAAGAAGCACCGGCUAACUCCGUGCCAGCAGCCGCGGUAAUACGGAGGGUGCGAGCGUUAAUCGGAAUUACUGGGCGUAAAGCGCACGCAGGCGGUUUGUUAAGCUAGAUGUGAAAGCCCCGGGCUCAACCUGGGAUGGUCAUUUAGAACUGGCAGACUAGAGUCUUGGAGAGGGGAGUGGAAUUCCAGGUGUAGCGGUGAAAUGCGUAGAUAUCUGGAGGAACAUCAGUGGCGAAGGCGACUCCCUGGCCAAAGACUGACGCUCAUGUGCGAAAGUGUGGGUAGCGAACAGGAUUAGAUACCCUGGUAGUCCACACCGUAAACGCUGUCUACUAGCUGUGUGUGUCUUUAAGACGUGCGUAGCGAAGCUAACGCGCUAAGUAGACCGCCUGGGGGAGUACCGCCCGCGAGGGAUAAAACUCAAAUGGAAUUGACGGGG
rnacentral:rRNA from 1 species